GCGCCGGCCGGGCUGGGGCCUCGAGUGCGCAUGCGGGCGGCUCGCGCAGGCCCGCCAGUUGCAGCCGUUGCUCCAGCCCCUUCGCUGCUCUGCCACGUACGGGCGGUGGCGGCCGUUGCCGGGCUCGGGCGGGCGGCCUCCACCGGCGGGACCGCGGAGAAGCCAGAUAAAUUGUACCUGGAACUGUAGCAAGAUCAGGGCGAGAAGGGCACCAUCUCCAUGUCCUAUUUGUUUCAUAAAAUCUCUGGAUGAGAAGCGCGUACAUAAAAAACGUGUGGACUGCAUAAACGUCAAGCAGACCAUCACAUCGGCUUUCUAGCAGCAAAAGCUGAAUCUUGAGCUUCCUGUUUUCUGCCAUUGGUAGUGCAUGGCAGCUUCUCCUAACUCUGUCCUGAAGUGAGGUGGAAAAUCUGACCAAUAAUACAGCAUCAGUAAGAAAACCAAGGUAAUGAUAAACAUAUGUUUGUGGAAGGGAGGUGAAAGAAGACCUGUGGAUACUAGUUAAUUUUUUUAAUGCUUAAAAAUAUCAUUUAAAUGCUUACUGCAAAUAACUGUGUUUUUUACAAGCAACUUCUACUAAAACAAAGUGCUAAUUAGACAGAGUUGAUGUGCCUGCAGUCUAGACUACUAUGUUGCAUAACAUGAAUAAUGCAUUAACAAUAUUAUGAACUUCACUAUGCUUCAUCAGAGUGUCUCAGUGACAACCUGACUGUGUUAAUUACAGGUCCCUGUUCUCUGCAAUUGAAUUGAAUUUCUUUGUAUUCACCUACUUACUGUUAUUGUUGUCUGAUAAGGAAAAUGAGUUUUGCUCAAUAGUUGCUUGUCUCUUUUUUUUUUUUUUUGGAAGGUCAUUGGGUCAAACACAUGGAUGAAGCAUUUGCUUUAUAUCAAGUUAAUUACAAGACAACAGAAAUUGAGUUGCAAUCUAGAGAUAGUAUCCUAGUAUGUCCUUCUAAUACAUAAUGUCAUUGUUAAAACAGUAGAGCUAAAUAUACAGAGAUGCAUCAAGGUAUGAUGUGUUAAAGGCCUUAGCUGAGUAACUAGUUUCUCUGGUAGGAGAGAAGUCAUUUUCAAUAGAAUAUUUUAAAAAUUGACCAAAGCAAAAUUCAUUUUUUUUUAUAGCGCUCCAUGUUAUAAUGUUCUUAAAGGUAAGGGACAAAUAUCUGCAUAUCUCUAUUAUGAUUUUUUUUUUCUCCAAAAGAGAAAGGACAGCAUGCUUGCCUGCAUACCUUUUUGGGAAUUCCAGUUUUGAUAUGUAAGGCUUCCUACUUCUAAGCUCUCCAACAUUUGUACUUCAGAUAUUAAGAUUCCUGCCUCUUUAAUUUCUCUUCAUUCCAGUU
rnacentral:lncRNA from 1 species